rnacentral:rRNA from 1 species
CCUAGGGAGGCAGCGGUGGGGAAUAUUGGACAAUGGGCGAAAGCCUGAUCCAGCAAUGCCGCGUGAGUGAUGAAGGCCUUCGGGUCGUAAAGCUCUUUUACCAGGGAUGAUAAUGACAGUACCUGGAGAAUAAGCUCCGGCUAACUCCGUGCCAGCAGCCGCGGUAAUACGGAGGGAGCUAGCGUUGUUCGGAAUUACUGGGCGUAAAGAGUACGUAGGCGGUUAUUCAAGUCAGAGGUGAAAGCCCGGGGCUCAACCCCGGAACUGCCUUUGAAACUAGAUAACUAGAGUCUUGGAGAGGUUAGUGGAAUUCCGAGUGUAGAGGUGAAAUUCGUAGAUAUUCGGAAGAACACCAGUGGCGAAGGCGACUAACUGGACAAGUACUGACGCUGAGGUACGAAAGCGUGGGGAGCAAACAGGAUUAGAUACCCUGGUAGUCCACGCCGUAAACGAUGAUAACUAGUUGUUCGGUCACUUGGUGACUGAGUGACGCAGCUAACGCAUUAAGUUAUCCGCCUGGGGAGUACGGUCGCAAGNUUAAAACUCAAAGGAAUUGACGG